UACAGAGGGGUGCGAGCGUUGUCCCGGAAUCACUGGGGCGUAAAAGGGGCGCGUAGGCGGCUUGAUAAGGUUGCGGUGAAAGCCCCGGGGGCUCAACCCCCGGGGUCGGGCCCGUGGGCAACUGUCGAGCUGGAGCACUGUAGAGGCAGGUGGAAUUCCGGGGUGUAGCGGUGGAAUGCGUAGAGAUCCGGAAGAACACCGGUGGCGA
rnacentral:rRNA from 1 species